rnacentral:lncRNA from 1 species
GAAUGCCAUGUAAAAGUGCUGUUAAUACGUCGAUUCUCUGCAUCUUGAACGUCAAGAAUAAAAAUCCCGUGAAGGUUCUCAACAAAUUGAUUUACCGCAGCAUCCGCAGCACCAAGAAGGAAUCCUUCCACCAUGUCCCCGUUCCCGUCACCAUCUUCGUCGCAGACUUCACCUCGUCCUUUUUCGAAGCCACGUUGCCUUCCGGGAAAAUGCGUCCAAUAUUUUUCUGUUCAAAGGCAGUUUUCCAACGGGAAGGAAGCUGAGGUAACCGAGCGUCAAGUGGUUGAGCCAACAAAACUUUUGCCAGCAGAAAAAUGUCUGCUAAGGACGAACAGCUGCGUGAACUUGCUAAGAAAUGAGAACACUCGCCAAAACUAAUAAAGGCUAUUAAUGUAUUUUAAGAUUCUAAAAAAAUAUAUAUUUAUGUCAAUUAAAUUUCUUAAAAAAAAAUAAAGAAAAGAAAUAAAUGAAUAUCCUUUUCUCUAUUAGAGCAAUUUAAAUUUAU